rnacentral:rRNA from 1 species
CAGCCGCCGCGGUAAUACGGAGGGUGCAAGCGUUAAUCGGAAUUACUGGGCGUAAAGCGCACGCAGGCGGUCUGUUAAGUCAGAUGUGAAAUCCCCGGGCUUAACCUGGGAACUGCAUUUGAAACUGGCAGGCUUGAGUCUUGUAGAGGGGGGUAGAAUUCCAGGUGUAGCGGUGAAAUGCGUAGAGAUCUGGAGGAAUACCGGUGGCGAAGGCGGCCCCCUGGACAAAGACUGACGCUCAGGUGCGAAAGCGUGGGGAGCAAACAGGAUUAGAUACCCCAGUAGUCCCUGUCUCUUAUAC